ACUAUGUCAAUAAACCCAUCAGACAACAGGGCUCAGACGACAGAAUGGUUGCUUUCUGUUGUCUGAAUAACUUUAACGACAGAAUGAAAAAAUUCUGUUGUCUGAAUAUAGUGAUAUACCAUGGUAAAUUGAUUUUGAGAACAAUGUUUUGUUUCAGACAACAGUUUUCUGUUGUGUGUGUAAUGGAGAGUUGCUUAGUUUUGAAAGUUUGCUUUUUUUUUUUUGGAAAGGACUGUUUGGUUUUUUGGUAACACAUAAAUGAAAUUAGAUCAAACAACUUAAUCAAAUCUGGCCCGAUGGAUUUCUCAAACACUGAAAACGCCCCCCUUUCAAACUUCUCUCUUCUUCACAGCACAUCUCUCAAACCAAAACCACUGAACUGAAAAAUCCAGCGCCAAAUCCAACAUCAAUCUCUUCUAUUCGUUCACUAUACUGCUGGUAAGCCAUUCGAUUAAGUGUUUAUAGAUUUAGGGUUUUUGUUGUAUUGGGAAUUUAGGGUUUUUUCGAUUAACUGUUCAGCUCGAUCACUUUACCUAGGCGAAGACAGAGGCUAGGUGGAAGAUGGAGGUACAGUCCAACGACUUCGUCUUCAUUCUCUCAAGUCUGAUUGUCUCAACUAACUUCUGAAAACCCAAACCUCCUCAAAACCUUCAACCCAGUCUCUGCGACGGUCGACGGCAGCGGCACGACGACCUCGUCUUGUUCUCGCGACAUCACUCUGUCAGUCUCGCUUUUGGUGGCGGAGCAGAAGAAAGAAAAGAAAAAAAUAAGAAGGGGUCGGGAAAGAGAGGAGAAAGAAGAGGAUAUGGAUGUUAAGAAAGAUAGAGAAGAAAAGAAGAAGAAAUAGGAAGAGGGAAGAAGUCAAGCAUUCAUCUGCAGGAGGCCGUAUUGUUAGUAUGAGCUCAAGAUUGGGAAGACUAAAUGGCAAACAAAAUGAAGAGCACAUUGAAAUUGCCAAAGCCAAGAAAAAAGCAGGAGAAACAGAUUUUUGCUCAACUGAGGAACAGCUUCGUGCUACAAUCAAAAGCUUGCAGUAUCUCAUACAACAAGAAUGCAUUCUGUUUAGAAAAACCUAAGACAGAUCAAACAACUUGAAAACACACGUGGACACAUUGUUGCUAUUGUUGCUGUACAAGCCAAGAUUCAAGAAUCAGUGGUUCAAAUAAACAAAGAGGUCUUUCAACACCAAGUUAAACUUAUUUAUGGUGAUUUGGAUGAAGCAAGGAAAGAGCAAAAGUCAAAACUUCAAACAUCAAAGACAAGAUAAUGUUGACUAGCAAGAGACUCCAGUUACAGGCAGGAACUCAUAUAUGAAGUCCAGAAAUCAAAAGGCUGAGCAGAGUGAGACAAUGGUUCAAGAUAUAUGCUGUGACAUUAAAAAGUUAGAUUUUGCAAAGAAGGAUAUAACAAACCACCAUUAGUGCUCUUCAUAGUCUGACCAUGCUAGCCUCUGCUGUUGAACAACUUUAACUGAUGGCUUCAAAAUGACAAUAUAAAGAGGCAGCUGCACAAUUGGAGUGGGAUAGAAGAACAAAUCUUGUUUACACAGAAAAGGAUAUUGAUGAAGUUCGGGCUGAAUGGGCGAAACAUGUUAUGAAGUUUGCACAAGUGUAGUGUGCACAAAGAGGAUCUGUGGUAUAUGCAUGGUUAGGGCUAGCUGUUUUUGUGCAUAUUGACAUUGAAUGCAUAGCUAGAUUAUGGAGGGUUUUUUUGCCUAACUAAUAUGAUCGACUUUUGCCUUUAUCGAUCAUAUUUUGACCUCCUAACAUAUUACUCAACUUGUAGGAUGGAUUGAUGGUAAUGUUGAAUAUUGAUGUAGUUUGCUGGCUGAUUUAAAUGAAAUGGCCUUUGACUUGUUAUAGUUGGAUGUUGUUAUUGUGCUUACUAGUCAACACAGGUUUUUCAAUAUAUGAUGUGGUUAUAAUACAGCUCAUACAAUAUAAAUACCGAAUGAAGUUGUUGCACCAAACAUCAGACAACUUAAAUACCAAAUCAAGCUGACGUUAAACAAAACAUCAAACAACAGAUAUUUGUGGUUAU